UGGGAAGAUGCCAAGAGGAACAGCAGAGUGGUUAGGGGAGACGCAAGGGAACUGCUCCCCAGUGCCCUGGCUGUCGGGUGGUGAAGGCAGAAGGAGAUUCUCAAGGCAGACCCAGAACCCACUGAAUAAAGAGGAGACUGAGCUCCGCAAGGAAGAAUUUUGCAAUGCCACGUACUUUGGAUGAGGACAUCAGUGAGAAGCUAGAAUGAAUGGGAAAGCCACGACCAGAGAUGAGCAGUGGAAAACUCACGGCUCCAGCAGUCUUCACUCUUCACCCCCUUGUGGGAUCACCAUGCUGGCCAAGCCUUUGGCCAAUAUUGGGCCUAUCUCUGUGCACUUUGAUUGUCUUCUCCAAAAAGUAAUAAAGCAUGUACAACUUGUAGCAAAGAGAUAUCAUGAGACUUUUAAUAAGGAAUGUGAAUUGAGAGAAGAUGG